AUCCCUCAAAUCCCAAUGUUUUUUAAAAAGAAGCGUUGCUUGGAUUUGGUUGUGGGCCCUUGCAGUCUUUCACGAGUCUGCUGGCCUUAAAGAUAUUAGCUGGACCUCUCUAAUCUCUUAGCAGAGUACUUCCAUUUGAUGUAAUAAAGUUGCAUUGGUGGAAGCUCGACUAAGUACAUAGAGCAAGUCUGCUUCUUAACCCGGCGCGAGUGGCAACACUCAACCCAUUAUUCAUAA
rnacentral:misc_RNA from 1 species